rnacentral:rRNA from 1 species
UACGGGGGGGGCAAGGGUUGUUCGGAAUUACUGGGCGUAAAGGGCUCGUAGGUGGCCAACUAAGUCAUACGUGAAAUCCCUCGGCUUAACCGGGGAACUGCGUCUGAUACUGGAUGGCUUGAGGUUGGGAGAGGGAUGCGGAAUUCCAGGUGUAGCGGUGAAAUGCGUAGAUAUCUGGAGGAACACCGGUGGCGAAGGCGGUUCUCUGGGCCUUACCUGACGCUGAGGAGCGAAAGCGUGGGGAGCGAACAGG